GGGACACGUGGUAUCCUGUCUGAAUAUGGGGGGACCAUCCUCCAAGGCUAAAUACUCCUGACUGACCGAUAGUGAACCAGUACCGUGAGGGAAAGGCGAAAAGAACCCCGGCGAGGGGAGUGAAAAAGAACCUGAAACCGUGUACGUACAAGCAGUGGGAGCCUCUUAAUGGGGUGACUGCGUACCUUUUGUAUAAUGGGUCAGCGACUUAUAUUCUGUAGCAAGGUUAACCGAAUAGGGGAGCCGAAGGGAAACCGAGUCUUAACUGGGCGUUAAGUUGCAGGGUAUAGACCCGAAACCCGGUGAUCUAGCCAUGGGCAGGUUGAAGGUUGGGUAACACUAACUGGAGGACCGAACCGACUAAUGUUGAAAAAUUAGCGGAUGACUUGUGGCUGGGGGUGAAAGGCCAAUCAAACCGGGAGAUAGCUGGUUCUCCCCGAAAGCUAUUUAGGUAGCGCCUCGUGAAUUCAUCUCCGGGGGUAGAGCACUGUUUCGGCAAGGGGGUCAUCCCGACUUACCAACCCGAUGCAAACUGCGAAUACCGGAGAAUGUUAUCACGGGAGACACACGGCGGGUGCUAACGUCCGUCGUGAAGAGGGAAACAACCCAGACCGCCAGCUAAGGUCCCAAAGUCAUGGUUAAGUGGGAAACGAUGUGGGAAGGCCCAGACAGCCAGGAUGUUGGCUUAGAAGCAGCCAUCAUUUAAAGAAAGCGUAAUAGCUCACUGGUCGAGUCGGCCUGCGCGGAAGAUGUAACGGGGCUAAACCAUGCACCGAAGCUGCGGCAGCGACACUAUGUGUUGUUGGGUAGGGGAGCGUUCUGUAAGCCUGUGAAGGUGGCCUGUGAGGGUUGCUGGAGGUAUCAGAA
rnacentral:rRNA from 1 species